rnacentral:rRNA from 1 species
AUUGAACGCUGGCGGCAGGCUUAACACAUGCAAGUCGAGCGGAGUGAUGGUGCUUGCACUAUCACUUAGCGGCGGACGGGUGAGUAAUGCUUAGGAAUCUGCCUAUUAGUGGGGGACAACAUCUCGAAAGGGAUGCUAAUACCGCAUACGUCCUACGGGAGAAAGCAGGGGAUCACUUGUGACCUUGCGCUAAUAGAUGAGCCUAAGUCGGAUUAGCUAGUUGGUGGGGUAAAGGCCUACCAAGGCGACGAUCUGUAGCGGGUCUGAGAGGAUGAUCCGCCACACUGGGACUGAGACACGGCCCAGACUCCUACGGGAGGUAGCAGUGGGGAAUAUUGGACAAUGGGGGGAACCCUGAUCCAGCCAUGCCGCGUGUGUGAAGGAGGCCUUAUGGUUGUAAAGCACUUUAAGCGAGGAGGAGGCUCUUUUGGUUAAUACCCAAGAUGAGUGGACGUUACUCGCAGAAUAAGCACCGGCUAACUCUGUGCCAGCCGCCGCAGUAA